GGGUGCUUAGCUCAGCUGGGAGAGCAUCGCUCUUACAAGGUGAGGGUCGGGGGGUUCGAACUCCUCAGCACCCACCC
rnacentral:tRNA from 1 species